GGGGAAUAUUGCACAAUGGGCGAAAGCCUGAUGCAGCAACGCCGCGUGAGUGAUGAAGGUCUUCGGAUUGUAAAGCUCUGUCUUUUGGGACGAUAAUGACGGUACCAAAGGAGGAAGCCACGGCUAACUACGUGCCAGCAGCCGCGGUAAUACGUAGGUGGCGAGCGUUGUCCGGAUUUACUGGGCGUAAAGGGUGCGUAGGCGGAUGUUUAAGUGAGAUGUGAAAUACCCGGGCUUAACUUGGGUGCUGCAUUUCAAACUGGAUAUCUAGAGUGCAGGAGAGGAGAAUGGAAUUCCUAGUGUAGCGGUGAAAUGCGUAGAGAUUAGGAAGAACACCAGUGGCGAAGGCGAUUCUCUGGACUGUAACUGACGCUGAGGCACGAAAGCGUGGGUAGCAAACAGGAUUAGAUACCCUGGUAGUCCACGCCGUAAAACGAUGAGUACUAGGUGUAGGAGGUAUCGACCCCUUCUGUGCCGCAGUAAAACACAUUAAGUACUCCGCCUGGGAAGUACGAUCGCAAG
rnacentral:rRNA from 1 species